GACGAACGCUGGCGGCGUGCUUAACACAUGCAAGUCGAACGGUAAGGCCCUUCGGGGUACACGAGUGGCGAACGGGUGAGUAACACGUGGGUGAUCUGCCCUGCACUUCGGGAUAAGCCUGGGAAACUGGGUCUAAUACCGGAUAGGACCACUGCCUGCAUGGGUGGUGGUGGAAAGCUUUUGCGGUGCGGGAUGGGCCCGCGGCCUAUCAGCUUGUUGGUGGGGUGAUGGCCUACCAAGGCGACGACGGGUAGCCGGCCUGAGAGGGUGACCGGCCACACUGGGACUGAGAUACGGCCCAGACUCCGACGGGAGGCAGCAGUGGGGAAUAUUGCACAAUGGGCGCAAGCCUGAUGCAGCGACGCCGCGUGGGGGAUGACGGCCUUCGGGUUGUAAACCUCUUUCAGCACCGACGAAGCGCAAGUGACGGUAGGUGCAGAAGAAGGACCGGCCAACUACGUGCCAGCCGCCGCCGCGG
rnacentral:rRNA from 1 species